rnacentral:sRNA from 1 species
GACCCGGGAGCUGGGAACCCGCAGGCUGGGGACUCCUCCGGCGGGGGCGCUGGGGGCGGGCUGCCGUCCCCUGGGGAGCAGGAGCUGAGCCGGCGCUUGCAGCGCCUGUAUCCUGCGGUCAACCAGCAAGAGACUCCGCUGCCGCGUUCCUGGAGCCCCAAGGACAAAUACAACUACAUUGGUCUCUCCCAGGGCAACCUCCGCGUCCACUACAAAGGUCAUGGCAAAAAUCACAAAGAUGCGGCCUCAGUGCGUGCCACCCACCCCAUACCUGCUGCCUGUGGCAUUUAUUACUUUGAAGUGAAGAUUGUCAGCAAAGGAAGAGAUGGUUACAUGGGAAUAGGACUCUCGGCUCAAGGCGUCAACAUGAACAGACUUCCUGGUUGGGACAAACAUUCCUAUGGUUACCAUGGUGAUGAUGGGCAUUCGUUCUGCUCCUCGGGGACUGGCCAGCCCUAUGGUCCCACAUUCACCACAGGAGACGUGAUCGGCUGCUGCGUCAACCUCAUCAAUGGCACCUGCUUCUACACCAAGAAUGGCCACAGCCUUGGUAUAGCCUUCACAGACCUCCCGGAACUCACUCUUGUCACCAAGGCUGGAUUGCAGUGGCAGAAUCACAGCUCACUGCAGCCUCAAUUUCCUGGACUCAAGCCAUCUUCCCACCUCCCUCCUGAGUAGCUG